rnacentral:rRNA from 1 species
GGACGGGUGAGUAAUGUCUGGGAAACUGCCUGAUGAGGGGGAUAACUACUGGAAACGGUAGCUAAUACCGCAUAACGUCGCAAGACCAAAGAGGGGGACCUUCGGGCCUCUUGCCAUCGGAUGUGCCCAGAUGGGAUUAGCUAGUAGGUGGGGUAAAGGCUCACCUAGGCGACGAUCCCUAGCUGGUCUGAGAGGAUGACCAGCCACACUGGAACUGAGACACGGUCCAG